GACGAACGCUGGCGGCGUGCUUAACACAUGCAAGUCGAACGGAAAGGCCCUGCUUUUGUGGGGUGCUCGAGUGGCGAACGGGUGAGUAACACGUGAGUAACCUGCCCUUGACUUUGGGAUAACUUCAGGAAACUGGGGCUAAUACCGGAUAGGAGCUCCUGCUGCAUGGUGGGGGUUGGAAAGUUUCGGCGGUUGGGGAUGGACUCGCGGCUUAUCAGCUUGUUGGUGGGGUAGUGGCUUACCAAGGCUUUGACGGGUAGCCGGCCUGAGAGGGGGACCGGCCACAUUGGGACUGAGAUACGGCCCAGACUCCUACGGGAGGCAGCAGUGGGGAAUAUUGCACAAUGGGCGGAAGCCUGAUGCAGCAACGCCGCGUGCGGGAUGACGGCCUUCGGGCUGUAAACCGCUUUCGCCUGUGACGAAGCGUGAGUGACGGUAAUGGGUAAAGAAGCACCGGCUAACUACGUG
rnacentral:rRNA from 1 species